rnacentral:rRNA from 1 species
GCAGUCGAACGGCAGCACGGGUGCUUGCACCUGGUGGCGAGUGGCGAACGGGUGAGUAAUAUAUCGGAACGUGCCCUAGAGUGGGGGAUAACGUAGCGAAAGUUACGCUAAUACCGCAUACGAUCUACGGAUGAAAGUGGGGGAUCGCAAGACCUCAUGCUCCUGGAGCGGCCGAUAUCUGAUUAGCUAGUUGGUGGGGUAAAAGCCUACCAAGGCGACGAUCAGUAGCUGGUCUGAGAGGACGACCAGCCACACUGGGACUGAGACACGGCCCAGACUCCUACGGGAGGCAGCAGUGGGGAAUUUUGGACAAUGGGGGAAACCCUGAUCCAGCAAUGCCGCGUGUGUGAAGAAGGCCUUCGGGUUGUAAAGCACUUUUGUCAGGAACGAAACGGUGGGGGCUAAUACCUCCUGCUAAUGACGGUACCUGAAGAAUAAGCACCGGCUAACUACGUGCCAGCAGCCGCGGUAAUACGUAGGGUGCGAGCGUUAAUCGGAAUUACUGGGCGUAAAGCGUGCGCAGGCGGUUGUGCAAGACAGAUGUGAAAUCCCCGGGCUCAACCUGGGAAUUGCAUUUGUGACUGCACGGCUAGAGUGUGUCAGAGGGGGGUAGAAUUCCACGUGUAGCAGUGAAAUGCGUAGAUAUGUGGAGGAAUACCGAUGGCGAAGGCAGCCCCCUGGGAUAACACUGACGCUCAUGCACGAAAGCGUGGGGAGCAAACAGGAUUAGAUACCCUGGUAGUCCACGCCCUAAACGAUGUCUACUAGUUGUCGGGUCUUAAUUGACUUGGUAACGCAGCUAACGCGUGAAGUAGACCGCCUGGGGAGUACGGUCGCAAGAUUAAAACUCAAAGGAAUUGACGGGGACCCGCACAAGCGGUGGAUGAUGUGGAUUAAUU